rnacentral:lncRNA from 1 species
AGACUUUAGUCAUGGCCUUCAACUAGUAUGGAAUAUCUAUCAAGGGCUCUGGUGAUCGGCACUGCUAGUGAAAAUGAUCAGAAAAGAAGAGAUAGGGUCAGAUCUUAAAAAACAAGGAAGAUAGAGGUGGAGGAAGAUUAGUUAAGAGAUCUUUGGGCUCUCAGUAGUGUUUGGCUAUGGCAUCUGGUGGUGGAGCAUUGCAAUUGAGAUGAAGAAGAGGGAGGACACUGGUAAUUUCCUAUGGGGAGUUAGUCUCCUCCCUAGUAUGUGUAAAGCAUGUGCUAAGUUUAAGAUUUUUUUUUCUUUGUGGCGAUAGAACUUUUGAGCCCUAAUUUAGACACCAGGCUAGGCCAUAGAGGUCGGGCCAUCCCAAAAAUAAACUUUAGGUGGGUCAAAUGGACCAAACCUGGUUCUUUUAUAGGCCAA